GACGAACGCUGGCGGCGUGCUUAACACAUGCAAGUCGAACGGAGCUUAAUGAUGAAGCUUGCGAUUUCAUUAAGUUUAGUGGCGGACGGGUGAGUAACGCGUGGGCAACCUACCCAUAAGCGGGGGACAACAGUUGGAAACGGCUGCUAAUACCGCAUACGCUCCUUAAAACACAUGUUUAAAGGAGGAAAGAUGGCCUCUGAAAAUGCUAUCACUUAUGGAUGGGCCCGCGUCUGAUUAGCUAGUUGGUGGGGUAGAGGCCUACCAAGGCGACGAUCAGUAGCCGGCCUGAGAGGGUGAACGGCCACACUGGGACUGAGACACGGCCCAGACUCCUACGGGAGGCAGCAGUGGGGAAUAGUUGCGCAAUGGGGGAAACCCUGACGCAGCGACGCCGCGUGAGCGAAGAAGGCCUUAGGGUCGUAAACUGCUUUUGUACGGAACGAAACGGUCUGCCCUAAUACGGCGGCUAAUGACGGUACCGUAAGAAUAAGCACCGGCUAACUACGUGCCAGCAGCC
rnacentral:rRNA from 1 species